rnacentral:rRNA from 1 species
CAGCAGUCGCCGCGGGAAUACGGAGGGUGCAAGCGUUAUCCGGAUUUAUUGGGUUUAAAGGGUCCGUAGGCGGACUUAUAAGUCAGUGGUGAAAGCCUGUCGCUUAACGAUAGAACUGCCAUUGAUACUGUAAGUCUUGAGUAUAUUUGAGGUAGCUGGAAUAAGUAGUGUAGCGGUGAAAUGCAUAGAUAUUACUUAGAACACCAAUUGCGAAGGCAGGUUACCAAGAUAUAACUGACGCUGAGGGACGAAAGCGUGGGUAGCGAACAGGAUUAGAUACCCCCGUAGUCCCUGUCUCUUAUAC